rnacentral:rRNA from 1 species
AACGAACGCUGGCGGCAUGCCUAACACAUGCAAGUCGAACGAGACCUUCGGGUCUAGUGGCGCACGGGUGCGUAACGCGUGGGAACCUGCCCUUAGGUUCGGAAUAACUCCCCGAAAGGGGUGCUAAUACCGGAUAAUGUCUUCGGACCAAAGAUUUAUGGCCUUUGGAUGGGCCCGCGUUGGAUUAGCUCGUUGGUAGGGUAAAAGCCUACAAAGGCCACGAUCCAUUGCUUGUCUGAGAGGAUGAUCAGCAACACUGGGAGUGGGACCCGGCCCAGACUCCUCCGGAAGGCAGCAGUGGGGAAUAUUGGACAAUGGGCGAAAGCCUGAUCCAGCAAUGCCGCGUGAGUGAUGAAGGCCUUAGGGUUGUAAAGCUCUUUUACCCGGGAUGAUAAGGACAGUACCGGGAGAAUAAGCUCCGGCUAACUCCGU